CGCAAUGGAGAAAGCACACAGAUGUUUCCAAGCGAGGAGGAGAGCAACAGGGGUCCAGCCUCCAGCAGAGCAACCUGAGUCUCCACAUGGGGCAAUGCCCUCGUAAACAUUUGCUGACACCUGCUCUGUGCUUUUCCCUAAGAACAUUAAAGUAUAGGAAGCACCUUGAACAAUCAGGAGGUAUACAUACACAAAUGAAAAACGUUCUGCACGGUAAGGCUAGAUCCACCUACCUCGUGAGCUCCUGAAACCAUCAUCACCAAGAGAAAAGUUGCAAAGGCCACGGUAAUAAUUAUUAAGAAGAAUCUUUUUUAUUGCAAGCAACAAAAACUGUAAAGAUGCUAAAGUCAGCAAAAGUUCAAGGAGAAACGAGUCAUUUAUUUAAUAUCAAAGUAUCACCCUGAAAAUAUUAGUUACAAGAGCAAAAUGAGUAACUUUAGUGUGAAGAAAGUCAUCUUGAUGAAGAGAUCAAGGUUAACGUCUCCGGGAGGAAGAAGUGCGCACGUCACGUAUAACUUGAUGGGAUCUACACUUCAGCUGUAUUCCCGCCCCGGCUGUACAAGUUCAGUCUCAUGAGGUGAAAUCGUCCUGCAAACCCAGCUGAGAGACACCCUACAGAAUACACGAGUAAUACUCUUCCAGGAGUCAAGGUCAUGAAAAAUAAGGAAAAACUGAGGAGCCGUCACAGGUCACCAGACCUAACAACCAAAUGGAGUGCGGUUGUGGACUGGACU